AUACGGAGGAUCCGAGCGUUAUCCGGAUUUAUUGGGUUUAAAGGGAGCGUAGGUGGAUUGUUAAGUCAGUUGUGAAAGUUUGCGGCUCAACCGUAAAAUUGCAGUUGAAACUGGCAGUCUUGAGUACAGUAGAGGUGGGCGGAAUUCGUGGUGUAGCGGUGAAAUGCUUAGAUAUCACGAAGAACUCCGAUUGCGAAGGCAGCUCACUAGACUGUCACUGACACUGAUGCUCGAAAGUGUGGGUAUCAAACAGGAUUAGAUACCCUGGUAGUCCACACAGUAAACGAUGAAUACUCGCUGUUUGCGAUAUACAGUAAGCGGCCAAGCGAAAGCAUUAAGUAUUCCACCUGGGGAGUACGCCGGCAACGGUGAAACUCAAAUGAAUUGACGGGG
rnacentral:rRNA from 1 species